UGCAAAGGGAGUAACGGCUGCGCCCGAGGCUAAUAACAGUAAUCUAUAAUAUUUUAGACCAUUUGGUCUGGUUGUUUGCUAUUAUAGAUUACUGUUAUUAGCCUCGGGCGCAGCCCUUACCCCCUUUGCA